CUUUACAUAAUAAUAUUAUAAGGAGGAUUAAUUUCAUAUACAAUACUAUAUAUAAUGAGAUAAAUCAUUUGGCCUUACGAUAUGUGUAAGAAAUAAUGCUUUGAUAAUUGGCAGCCUAUCAAGAGUUUCAUUAGUGUAGAACAAUUUUUUUGGCUGUUAACAUAGUGUAUAACAUUUGAUGUCGUAAUUUGUUUUGGAAGAAAAUUUAAUCUCAACUUAGAAUUUUUUACCGACAGGUUUAUGGUCUUUUAAUAUCUACAGGUUGUAGAAACUGAGGUCAUUGUAACUCAAAUGAGAGCUUGACACUUAGCAUAUAGACGCCACUAGAACCAAUCUAGAAUUACUGUGAGGAAAAACGGAUAUAGAGUGAUAAAAGGCAUUAAUCGAAUUGUGUAUGCAACUACUGUGGCAUAUCAGUGACCUUCCGAGAAGAUACAAUGGCGUUCUUAGUAGUAACACUGCUUGAUUUCUAUAGUUGGAGUCAUCAAACAGCUAACAUUUACACUUGAACUGUUUGGUGAAAUGCUUGGGAGAAAGAGGUCAGCAAGAAUGGAGUCAUGGAACAUCGGCAGGAGGGGUGCAGCAGCGGCAACUGAUGUAUCCCUUGAACAAUCUGGUUUUGACAAGAUGCAAAUCAAUCUAGUGUACACUGUAUUCUACACUUGCACAAAUUGUUUGGCUAAUUACAAGAUUAUCUUAGUGUUUUGGUUUGGAUUUAAGAGUAUACUUAUGUAUGAAAUAUUGACUGGUACUCAUCUAUAUUA